GCAGGCUCACCAACAGAGCGAGGAGUGCGGCGAGGAAACCCGACACCACGCACGCCACCGCCGGCGUCUCCGUGUACGAGCUCACGUUAGCCAGGAACCUGCAACACACAACACGCACGUGAAAACAUCGCCGGUGACACGCCGUCCCCCGCCAUGGCGUAGAUGACUCGUGGCAUGGGGAAGAGCGAGCCGAGCAGACUGACGGUGAGUCCGGCGAUGGAGCCGAAAGCCACCACGUACUUGGCCGAGUAAAACCCGUGCACAGAGAACAUCUCCAUCAGGGGGGCGUCGGCGUCGAUCAGGGUGUAGGGCACCAUCAGGGCAGGUGUGGAGGCGAAGAGCCGGUUUUGGAUUAGCAUCAUUCCGACGCGGGCGCAGGUGUGAGGGAGCGAGGGAACGAUCAGGAAUGAUCUGUAAUGAAACAACCAUGCUCCACAACUCACCUGACUCCAACACGCCCACUGUGUGAAUAUGUCCAGGUGCGUGUGAGUGUGUGUCCUGGUGUAUAGUAAGUGUGUACAUGUGCACUGUUUUGUGUGCAGGUGUGUCCUGCGGUGU